UGAUAUCAUGCUGUCAGUUGCAGCAGAAGAAGAGAAGCUCCCAUCAGAUCACCUUCAAUAGCAACCAUGUUCUCUGUAGCUCUGCUGCUGCUGCUGGCUGCUGGAUCCUGUGUGAAGUGUGAACAGUUGACCCAGCCAGCCUCUGUGACUGUGCAGCCAGGUCAACGUCUGACCAUCACCUGUCAGGUCUCUUAUUCUCUCAGCAGCUACUACACAGCUUGGAUCAGACAGCCUGCAGGGAAAGGACUGGAGUGGAUUGGAAUGAAAGAUACUGGAGCUUCAUACUACAAAGAUUCCCUGAAGAACAAGUUCAGUAUCGACUUAGAGACUUCCAGCAACACAGUGACUCUAAAUGGACAGAAUGUGCAGCCUGAAGACACUGCUGGAUAA